rnacentral:rRNA from 1 species
UCCAGACUCCUACGGGAGGCAGCAGUGGGGAAUAUUGCACAAUGGGGGGAACCCUGAUGCAGCGACGCCGCGUGAGUGAAGAAGUAUUUCGGUAUGUAAAGCUCUAUCAGCAGGGAAGGUAAUGACGGUACCUGACUAAGAAGCCCCGGCUAACUACGUGCCAGCAGCCGCGGUAAUACGUAGGGGGCAAGCGUUAUCCGGAUUUACUGGGUGUAAAGGGUGCGUAGGUGGCAGGGCAAGUCAGAUGUGAAAGCCCGGGGCCCAACCCCGGUACUGCAUUUGAAACUGUCCGGCUGGAGUGCAGGAGAGGUAAGCGGAAUUCCUAGUGUAGCGGUGAAAUGCGUAGAUAUUAGGAGGAACACCAGUGGCGAAGGCGGCUUACUGGACUGUAACUGACACUGAGGCACGAAAGCGUGGGGAGCAAACAGGAUUAGAUACCCGAGUAA